rnacentral:misc_RNA from 1 species
GCAAACUUGGUCAUUUAGAGGAAGUAAAAGUCGUAACAAGGUCUCCGUUGGUGAACCAGCGGAGGGAUCAUUACUGAGUUUACGCUCUACAACCCUUUGUGAACAUACCUAUAACUGUUGCUUCGGCGGGUAGGGUCUCCGUGACCCUCCCGGCCUCCCGCCCCCGGGCGGGUCGGCGCCCGCCGGAGGAUAACCAAACUCUGAUUUAACGACGUUUCUUCUGAGUGGUACAAGCAAAUAAUCAAAACUUUUAACAACGGAUCUCUUGGUUCUGGCAUCGAUGAAGAACGCAGC